rnacentral:tRNA from 1 species
UGCCGGGAUAGCUCAGUUGGUAGAGCAGGGGAUUGAAAAUCCUCGUGUCACCA